rnacentral:rRNA from 1 species
UGGGGAAUAUUGCACAAUGGGGGAAACCCUGAUGCAGCGACGCCGCGUGAACGAAGAAGGUAUUCGUAUCGUAAAGUUCUGUCCUAUGGGAAGAUAAUGACAGUACCAUAGAAGAAAGCUCCGGCUAAAUACGUGCCAGCAGCCGCGGUAAUAUGUAUGGAGCGAGCGUUGUCCGGAAUUAUUGGGCGUAAAGGGUACGCAGGCGGUUUAAUAAGUCGAAUGUUAAAGAUCGGGGCUCAACCCCGCAAAGCAUUGGAAACUGAUAAACUUGAGUAGUGGAGAGGAAAGUGGAAUUCCUAGUGUAGUGGUGAAAUACGUAGAUAUUAGGAGGAAUACCAGUAGCGAAGGCGACUUUCUGGACACAAACUGACGCUGAGGUACGAAAGCGUGGGGAGCAAACAGG